rnacentral:rRNA from 1 species
CUAACAUGGUGGUUGAAGUAUUAGGUGUUGAACUUUCUUAGUGGCGAACGGGUGAGUAACGCGUGGGCAACCUGCCCUCUAGAUGGGGACAACAUCCCGAAAGGGGUGCUAAUACCGAAUGUGACAGCAAUCUCGCAUGAGGAUGCUGUGAAAGAUGGCCUCUAUUUAUAAGCUAUCGCUAGGGGAUGGGCCUGCGUCUGAUUAGCUAGGUUGGUGGGGUAACGGCCUACCAAGGCGAUGAUCAGUAGCCGGUCUGAGAGGAUGAACGGCCACAUUGGGACUGAGACACGGCCCCAGACUCCUACGGGAGGCAGCAGUGGGGAAUCUUCCGCAAUGGGCGAAAGCCUGACGGAGCAAUGCCGCGUGAGUGAUGAAGGAAUUCGUUCCGUAAAGCUCUUUUGUUUAUGACGAAUGUGCAGAUUGUAAAUAAUGAUCUGUAAUGACGGUAGUAAACGAAUAAGCCACGGCUAACUACGUG